GACGAACGCUGGCGGCGUGCUUAACACAUGCAAGUCGAACGGAAAGGCCCUGCUUUUGUGGGGUGCUCGAGUGGCGAACGGGUGAGUAACACGUGAGUAACCUGCCCUUGACUUUGGGAUAACUUCAGGAAACUGGGGCUACUACCGGAUAGGAGCUCCUGCUGCAUGGUGGGGGUUGGAAAGUUUCGGCGGUUGGGGAUGGAUUCGCGGCUUAUCAGCUUGUUGGUGGGGUAGUUGCUUACCAAGGCUUGGACGGGUAGGCGGCCUGAGAGGGUGACCGGCGACAUUGGGACUGAGAUACGGCCCAGACUGCUACGGGAGGCAGCAGUGGGGAAUAUUGCACAAUGGGCGGAAGCCUGAUGCAGCAACGCCGCGUGCUGGAUGACGGCCUUCGUGUUGUAAACCGCUUUCGCCUGUGACGAAGCGUGAGUGACGGUAAUGUGUAGAGAAGCACCGGCUAAAUACGUG
rnacentral:rRNA from 1 species